GUUUGUUCGUCGAAUUCGACGCUUCUGCAGAAAUAUUUUUCUGCUCUGAGACAAAGAGCUUGACACUCGUCCAAAGUAAGGUGUUCUCCAAGUAGUCGGAAUUUGGGUCGUCUUCAAGUAGCUCUGGAUGAGUUCUCCUGGUAAAACGACUUAGAGCACAGCUUCUCAGUGCUGUGUCAUAGGUUGCAGAUCGACAGAUGAAGCUGAACUCGUUUAGACAUCUUUGAAGCAAAGAAGAAAACACAUCAAGUGUAAUUAAUCAUAAACUUUUCAUUUGUGGUUCGAAGCCCAGCUAGUUACGAUAAUCAAGCAGAUAAUGGACAAGUAAUAAUGUAAUGCUUGAAAGUUGGAAACACGGUCCGUUGCUUUUACGGGCGUGUGGUCCUUUGCCCUCGUGUAUGUACUUACACAUAUGUACGCAUACAACUUGCAGAGGAAAAGGUUCAUGGGGGUGCGAGCAUGUGGAGGUGUUCAGGACAAAAUUAACUUAAUGGCAAAGGUGACUAGAUCCUCCAGCGACCAACUGUAGCCCGCAAUUAUGAACGGAAUGUAUCAAUUUGCAAAUGAUCAAUUAUCCCACACGUGCCUGUCUGUUAAAGGGGAUGGAUGCUUGUUCAGUGAUUAACGUUACGGUCGACGAGAGAAAAUUACAGAUUUGGUCAUUCGAGUACUCGUAAUACUAUAUUCAAACGAUACUGUGAUUACAGAUUAUUGAAUUUCCUUAAUUGUUCUGUUCGCUAUUGAACAAAACUGGUCGAGACUAAACAGUGAAUGUAGGGAAAGGUAACAAUGGUAUGUAACAAAGAUUUAAGCUGUUGUAAGAGGGAGUUUUGAUGGAGGGAUGUUUUGUGGUGGUGACUGUUAUAUGGCUGUGUGUGGUUUGUGGAAUUGGAGAUUUGGGAGUUUUAAAUUUUGUGAUUUGAUUUCGCAGAAGAACCGCCUGCUCCGCAAGUUCUUCCUCAUCAACUCGUAGGACCUCGAUCAGCUUCCUACUAAAACGAUCCCAAGAAAAAACCCACUAGAACCGGCCAUCCAACGCGAAUGGCACCUGUAAUCAAACUGGCGGUCAAAAUCAGCGCAAACAGUGAAAAUAAUGGAUAACACCUGACAAAUAGGUAGGGGAAGAGAUGGCGAU
rnacentral:lncRNA from 1 species